CGUAGGGCGAGCGUUAUCCGGAAUUAUUGGGCGUAAAGCGCGCGCAGGCGGCUGAUUAAGUCAGGUGUGAAAGGCUGCGGCUCAACCGCAGAGCGGCACCUGAAACUGGUCAGCUUGAGUGCAGGAGAGGGGAGCGGAAUUCCCGGUGUAGCGGUGGAAUGCGUAGAGAUCGGGAGGAACACCAGUGGCGAAGGCGGCUCUCUGGCCUGUAACUGACGCUGAGGCGCGAAAGCGUGGGAGCAAACAGGAUU
rnacentral:rRNA from 1 species